rnacentral:misc_RNA from 1 species
AGACAAAAGUAUUCAACGGCGAUGUCCUCAUAAGUGUCGCGCACCGGCGUUCCUUCUCACCUUGUCAGUGCUUCAUGCUUUGUUUUCCCGGCAUUCACAUAGUGCUCAGGUGAGCCUUCGCGAUGCUCCGGAUCACCCGCUACCGUCGCACCACACUCGUCAGCACGGUAGAACAAUAAAUGUUUCGGAACAGCUCUGCACAUCGUGUGGUUCUUCUUGAAAAUAAAAGAGGUACAAGGUCGAUGAAAAGAACGCGUGCGAUAUACCCACUUCCCCAAAGGCCGGAAGCGUGAAAAAAAAAACACGAAACUGCAGGCACGGCGUGUGGAGAAACUUGCACUGCAUCGGCACUGAUUAGCCGAUGCCCGCUGCGCCGCGCGGGCGGCAUCGUGGAAAGAUGAUGACACAGGCCUCAGCACCCUGGUCCGCAAAAGAGGUUGUAAAUCGGCUCGUGAUGACCGCCUCCCACUACCUCACGCAGGUUCACACCAUCGCCGGAGACGAUUUUGCCGCUGACACGGUUGUGACAAAGGGGGAGGAUUGAGCAUGUGGCGGUAGGCCGCGAGGUUCUGGAGUACUGAUCAGAAGCUAUCGAGUGUGGAGGGGUCCAGCCAAGCAACGCGAAAGGCGACGCGACGUGGCGAAGGGGCUCCAUCUUCUACGACCAACUCAUGAGGCAGCUCGAGACGUUGACAGCGAAGCACAGGAUAGACAUUCUCACCAUCACUGCCGCGACAGUCUGACAGCUUGCACUGCUCUACACCCUCAUCAACCUCGACGUGCUUCCGCUGCAGCUGUUCAAGCAGCUGUGCAACAUGUUCCCUAUGAUCAACACCGCCCACCUUCGACGUAAGGACUCUUAAUCGACGUAAAGUCGCGGCCCUGUCAAAGCUAGCUGCGGGCUUGACUGGUGCCGACAACACCUGGUGUGUGCAGGGGCGGAGAGAGGGAGGGAGAGGGUGCUGCCGACGGUGACUAUGAGCGCAUCGCACCCUCACUCACCACGGAGGCCUCGACGCUAACUUCCAUCAGUCCUUCCAAGGAAAGCUUCCGACGCGACGCCGUGCUAAACAUGUCAGUGCAGGCUCACACACCACACAGGGCUCACCGCCCACCCCGAUUUCACCCUGUAACCUUGCGCGCAACAAGAUUGUUGCGCACAUCACUCCGGCGCUUUACGCACUUCCCCAUCAGACGCGCAUAUCGCUGACCUUCCAUUCGCUUUGCCCCACAAACCGCUGCGAAUGCUGCUUGCGGAGGCGCAUGAUGAGCAGCCAUACCGUUGCGCUCGACGCACCCACUCUUGCCAAAGGCGUGCGGAUUCCGCGGAGGGCGGAGUGCCCUCUGCCGCCACACCCACUCAGAGCGAUGCCGGUUCCUUUGCCGACGCACAUGCAAGCGAGCAGCCCGGAGAUCCAGAAAAAGCGUCGCCGAUUGCGAGGAUUCCAUUUGUGAGCCCCAGGGGCAAAAAUGUCGUCGAUAAACAGGCCUUAGGGCACAAUACCACGAACACGACCCCUGCUUGCUGUCCACAGAAGCUGGUACGGUCUGUCGUACAUCUCAGUCCAGCACUCCGGAUACCCCAAGAUACGGCGUGAUACAUGACAGAUGGAAAAACUGUUGGUGCCCCUUAACCUCGACAUACACGCGUACGAAUACCGGGCAUAUCCCACACCGGAGGAGAUGCAGUUGCUAGCAUUUUCGAGUGAGAAAGCAGGACGUAACCUUCUUCAAACACCGCAAUCGCUACCAACCGCAGGGCUCUAGCGUGAGGACUCACAACAGCACCUUGUCCGCUGCCCCCUGCAUGGGGGCACCCCAGAAGGAAACAGGGCCCCCAAGCGAGAGUUUCGCUACUGUGCACGCACAGUGGGAAGGGUCGUCAAACUAGAUUGCCGAGUUCAUAGAGAGCUCACAGAGAGUAGCGGAGCUUCUGCUUGCGCUCCACAUGAAGCCGACGCUACCUUUUUGCGGAAGUCGAGCGUACUCGGCCUUCAUCCCUGGCCUCCAGCUCCUCCAUCACGCGUGCAGGGCAUCUCUGCGAAGACGGGCACAGCAGGUUACGAGAGACACACAGGUCGCACCCAUUCCAACGCAUGUGCUACGCCUUCGCUGACGACAUACAACGGAUUCCUACGUGACGAGAAGGUAUCCACCAAGCAGCAGGCAGGACCUUGGUCGCUCUGUUUUCACGGCUUUCGGUGAGUAUCCGAGGCGUGAUGGAGCGGUUACGAGCGCCGAGUGGCAACGCGCACCGCUGCAUGCUGCCAUGCGCGAAUGCUUGCACCGCAAUAUACGAAAAGGGCUAACCGUGGUCCUCGAGGGUUUCAUCCUUUUAGAACUGACGCUAUCUAGUGUAGCAGUUGGGCGAAUCCGCUUUCUCCUUCACCUGUGCGGUGACGCUGCCGAUGGCUGCCGAGGCCAGAUGGAGGGAGAGAAGGCAAGAACUAGAUGCCAAAUGCGUGCUCUGAGCAUGCGAUAUCUUCGCUUCUGUCAUGCGUCACAAAGAAACUGUGGCAGAAGUCCGAGUCGACAUCAGGGGGCUUGUAUCCUUCUGCCGUUCAAGCCCCCUAUGUCGCGGCUUCUUUUUGGAUGCCCAUUCAGUUCUUACACACAUCCG